UUUCCGUAGGUGAACCUGCGGAAGGAUCAUUAAUGAAAUGCAACCUCGGGAGGUUGUGCUGGCGCUCCGGCGCAAUGUGCGCGCCUACUCUGGCGUUAAGACCCCUACACACCCGUGCACGAAUCCGUUGGACGGGAGUGGUGCCUUGCGCGCAUUCCGGUCUGGCCCUCAACAGCAGCUUAUUACCGUAUGUCGAAUGCAUCACUGCGCACGCGCAACCGAAAUACAACUUUUAACAACGGAUCUCUUGGUUCUC
rnacentral:misc_RNA from 1 species